UUUACUUAUUUAUAGUGCUUCAGAGGACAGGUUCAGAAGAGUUUUGGUUGGCGCUUUCGGCAGGCCUUGGUCGCCCCGCCCUGGGGCAGCCUGCCGAAGCAACAGGUACUAAAGAACACAAUGGUUUGGGAGUUUUGCAACUCUGUAAUGAUCCCUCCGCAGGUUCACCUACGGAGA
rnacentral:misc_RNA from 1 species